rnacentral:rRNA from 1 species
UAAUCACUUUAUCAUUACUUUGAAUAAAAUAGAGUGUUUAAAGCAAAACAUUAAGUUAAUGAAUAUUCAAGCAUGGGACAAUGCUGAGGGGAUGUCUUCGGACAUUUCGAGAGAAGGAUUAAAAGGAACAAUUGGGGUGAUUCAGAAAAUAACGGGAGAGGUGAAAUUCCAUGAUCGCUAUAAGAUGCACGAGAGCGAAAGCAUUUCACUCAACUGGGUCCAUUAAUCAAGAACGAAAGUUAGGGGAUCGAAGACGAUCAGAUACCGUCGUAGUCCUAACUAUAAACGAUGUCAACCAAGGAUUGGAUGAAAUAAAGAAAUUCGCGGAUGAAGAAACAUUGUUUCGGAAACCAAGAGUUUCACAACUACCUUGUUCAGAACUUAAAGAGAAAUCUCGAGUUUAUGGACUUCAGGGGGAGUAUGAUCACAAGGCUGAAACUUAAAGGAAUUGACGGAAGGGCACACCAGGAGUGGAGCCUGCGGCUUAAUUUGACUCAACACGGGAAAACUUACCAAGACCGAACAGUAGAAGGAAUGACAGAUUAAGAGUUCUUUCAUGAUUUAUUGGGUAGUGGUGCAUGGCCGUUCUUAGUUGGUGGAGUGAUUUGUCAGGUUAAUUCCGGUAACGAACGAGACUGAAACCUAUUAAUUAGUUUCCUGCCUAUACGACAGGAAUCUCCGCAAGGUCAGGUGCCUCGGUACCACUUCUUAAAGGGACACAUUUCAAUUGUCU